GAAAUUUUCAGAGAUGAGAAUGUGCCUUCGGGAACCGUGAGACAGGUGCUGCAUGGCUGUCGUCAGCUCGUGUUGUGAAAUGUUGGGUUAAGUCCCGCAACGAGCGCAACCCUUAUCCUUUGUUGCCAGCGGUCCGGCCGGGAACUCAAAGGAGACUGCCAGUGAUAAACUGGAGGAAGGUGGGGAUGACGUCAAGUCAUCAUGGCCCUUACGACCAGGGCUACACACGUGCUACAAUGGCGCAUACAAAGAGAAGCGACCUCGCGAGAGCAAGCGGACCUCAUAAAGUGCGUCGUAGUCCGGAUUGGAGUCUGCAACUCGACUCCAUGAAGUCGGAAUCGCUAGUAAUCGUGGAUCAGAAUGCCACGGUGAAUACGUUCCCGGGCCUUGUACACACCGCCCGUCACACCAUGGGAGUGGGUUGCAAAAGAAGUAGGUAGCUUAACCUUCGGGAGGGCGCUUACCACUUUGUGAUUCAUGACUGGGGUGAAGUCGUAACAAGGUAACCGUAGGGGAACCUGCGGUUGGA
rnacentral:rRNA from 2 species